UUUGCUAUCAAAUUCUCUGAUAAGGUCAACACCUGUGGUCACUGUAUACAAUUGUAUGUAGGAGGUUAUUUGUCACGUAUAUAAUGCGGAUUCGGUUCGUAAAUAUCAAUAAUUCUGGAGAUAAUUCUAAUCAAAACAUCAAUAUGUCAUAUUAACUAUUAAGCCAGUCUCCCCUAUAUAUAAAACCGCUUCAAUGAAACGUUUAUAUAACAGUGCUCAUGUUGUCAAGGAAAACGCAGUCUCAUCGUAAACAUUGUAUUCAACAACAGUCUGAACAGAACUUUUCAAAAUAACAAUAAGGAUGACUAUUCCAAAUGAUGUAGAACCAAAUGUUCGGAAUCCAAAUAUUCCAUAUGAAACCUUUCGACGUAUGACAUUUUCAUUCACGUAUGAUGAACAGGAAAUAUUAGAUUUAUUCAAGUUAAAUAAUUCUAAUUUUAUACUUAAAGAAAUUUAUCUAAGUAUAAGCCUGGGAUCAAUAGCAAAACGUUAUUGUUCAUUGUUUUGCCUACGCAUUGAUGAAGAGAACAAUAAUUAUCAAAUCAAUUUGAUGGGACUUCAUCGUCAAUUUCAGACUAUUAUAGGUCUUCAAACAUAUAACCAAUUUAGUCGAUGUGUGAAAUGUCGUAAAUAUUUGACUGUUAUUAGUUUUAAUACGUCAUAUCCUGUAACAAGGGUUCCAUUUUACUCAUACGAGAUAAAACUGUCAGAGAUAGAUAUGACUCUAUAAUCCAUUCCAUUUCUAAUUUGGGUAAAUAUAAUAAUUACUAUAAACAUAGUUUGAUUUCAUUAAUAGUUUCCCAAUCGUAUGAUUAUACAAACAUUUCAGAUUUGGAAGAUAUUAUUUAUAAUCACAUCCACAUGAUAGAGUAAAAAAAUUACUUAUUCACAUACAUUUGGAUCACGGAUGAUGAAAGUACGAUAGUAACAUAGUGUUAUAGCUGUUAUUAACUUACAAUAUCUGGUCGCAUGAACAUAAUCAUUGAAUUGUAUAUUCGUAAAUUUUUAUAAGAAAUACCUUCUGAAGAUAAUGAUUUACUAUGAAAUACAAUGGGUUUCGUGUACAGAUGGUACCAGUUCCAGCAGCCUGUGAAAAGGCUCCAUGUUACGAUUGUUUACUCGAUCGUUUCAUGUGUCGCUAAAACAGCUCGUUAACAUUCUUAGUAAAUCUAAAUUUGGUUAUCCGAUGACUUCAACAUGGUGAAUUAAAUACAAUCUAUUCAAAACAUAUCAUAGUGGAUCAGAAUAUUUGGAAAAAUUAAAAAAACUAUAACUAUAAAUUACAGAAAAAAAAAAAUGCAAACAAAAGAAAAUUAAAAAAAAUAUAUAUAUUCUAAUGUUUCAAAGUUUACAUAGAGUAUAGAUUACAUAUUCUUUUAACUUGAAAAAUAAUAAAAUACCUGAUUUAUAUUUAUAUUUUUUCACACAUUUCGCUAAGCAAAAAAAAACUGAAUAAAAAGUGAAUUAUAUUGUACAGUGUAUUUAAAUAAUCAAUCACUGAUAUUAUCACAGUUUUAUAUAUUUUGAAAAUAUAAAAAAACAGUAACUAUAUUAUGAAGUUAACAAUGAAAACAUAAGUACUAAAAGAAAAUAGUCAAAGAACUGAUUAUUAUUACCGAUAAUUAUGAAGUACCUAAAAUUAAUUUAUAAAUAUAUAGGAAAAUAUAUAUUAAAUAUAAAAAUUGACUAAACUGUGUACAAAUCAUGAAAAAAAAAAACAAUAAUUAUAAAUUAAUCAAUUAUAAAAUAUGUUAAUAACAUGUUUGAUGACUGGUUAGCUAAACUUUACAAAAUAAUAAUAAUAAAAACGUACAAAGAUUACAUUUAGCUAAAAACAGAAUAAUAUUAUUAUACAAACGAAUGUAUAAGAAGUUGCCUAUAGAGACCCCUCAAUAAAAA